rnacentral:tRNA from 1 species
AAAUAAGAAGCAACUAAUUGCAUUUAAUUUCGACUUAAAAGAUAGAGUUUAUUUACUCCUUAUUUA